GGAUCAUCAUGAGGAUGGUGAUUGAUUUAGUUAGAUUGAUGUAUGGAUCACUUUUCUCUUGAUAGACGAAUCUCGAGUCUAUAGUGUAGAGACACUGGAGCGAGAGUAUAGAUGAUUAUUAGAGAAUAACAGUAUCAAACAUGAUCAAUACGAAUAGUCACAUGGAUGUCUAUUCACUCUUAGUGACAUAUUUGAUGCUGCGGUGGUGUGAGUAGUCCUUAGACUUACGGUACCUCAGUUGCUUACAGUGAGAUUACUGUAGUUUGAUUAUAUAUAAACAUAGUCUCAAGCCAUAUAGAUCUUUAUAGUGGACAUUGACUACUGUAGGUUUACUGUAGAAGUAGAGUAUGCAUUUAGAUGGGAUCUAUCGAUUUUGAUAGAUAGGGAGUGGUCUUAUAUU
rnacentral:lncRNA from 1 species